AUUGAACGCUGGCGGCAUGCCUUACACAUGCAAGUCGAACGGUAGAGGGGCAACCCUCGAGAGUGGCGAACGGGUGAGUAAUGCAUCGGAACGUACCCAGUUGUGGGGGAUAGCUCGGCGAAAGCCGGAUUAAUACCGCAUACGCACUGAGGUGGAAAGCGGGGGACUCGCAAGGGCCUCGCGCAGUUGGAGCGGCCGAUGUCAGAUUAGCUAGUUGGUGGGGUAAAGGCCUACCAAGGCGACGAUCUGUAGCUGGUCUGAGAGGAUGACCAGCCACACUGGGACUGAGACACGGCCCAGACUCCUACGGGAGGCAGCAGUGGGGAAUUUUGGACAAUGGGCGCAAGCCUGAUCCAGCCAUGCCGCGUGCAGGAAGAAGGCCUCGG
rnacentral:rRNA from 1 species